ensembl:lncRNA
AUCCUCUUUGGCUGUUUGCACCAAGUCUUUUAUACAGCUGGGAAUGAGGAGGCCUCCUUUUACUGUGGCUUUAGAGAAAAAUGGGCAAAAGGAAAGGAGGAUGGUUGACACAAAGUGCUAAUUAGCACAGAGGAACCAGUUCAGUCCAAAUGGUGGAACAUGAUGAACGUGGCAGUUUCUGGCAUCAUACAAAAACUCUUCUGGAUAUUCCUUAUGGCUAGUUCCAAGCUGUAAAUUGAAACAUGGAUGAUCAACCCAUGAUGACUUUAGAAGGACAGAAGUCAUCAGCUUUGCAAGAGACCCCAAAAAUGACUUUCUCAGUAGAGCUUUCAAUGGCAGACUCAACCAUGGAUAGAAACCUGACCUUAAAAGAUACUUCUGAUUCACUACCGUCUGUUAUAGAUGAGCCUUUGGAAGACCAAACACAACUUGAGUUGAAGAAUAAAAGUUCAUUAGAGAAGAUCAAUCAAAUUGUACCACUGCUUGUCAACAAAGGUGGACCUUGUCUUCAAAUCUUGAAUCUUCUCACAAAAGAAAGGACAAAGAAAUACAUUGAACAUCAAAGCACUUCUGCUCCAAUAUCAACCCCAAAAUCUGAACUAAAUGGCAUUUAUUGUGAACCUGACUUCCAAAUGGAUGCUGAGACUGGGUUCAGCUAUUUUUUGACUCGCUCAGAUAGUCCAGUGAUCAACAGCUGUGAUGUAGACUCCUCAAACACCUCAUCUACUACUUAUCCUUUUUCUAAUUUUACGGUCAGACCCAUAUCAGAACCCGCUUACUCUUUUGCAUCCUCUCCAGUGGGACCAUCUCACAUUGAGCACCCUUACUCGGCUCCUUUGCCAGUCUCCAAGGGGGCUGAUCUACCCCGAAUCAUCAAACACAAGCCCAGCUCCAUUACCUUUGCAGAUUAUGACAGUUUUUUGGGUCUGAUCAAGAAUGCCCAAGCCAAUGAAGGUUCAGAUGCUUGUGAGGCCUCUUCUGAAGAUGAAGGCCGUGAUGUGGUCUUCCAUGAUGAUAGCGAUGAUGUGUUUCCCAAGUGCAAAGAAUUUUUCCAAAGCUCCAGACAAAACGGGGAAGGAUUGAAGAAACAAAGGAGUAAAGGAACCUGUAGACAAGCACAUGGAGAAAGAAGUUCCAGCACCAAUCUGCCACCCAACAGAAGCAGCAGCUAUGAGGCAGAGGAGGAGAGCAGCAGUACAGAGGAGUCUCCUCAGGUCCUGUCUCCCUGGUCUGAAUCUAUAACCCAGCUAAUGAAGAGAUUAGAUCAGCUCAAUCUGUACAUAGAGGAAGCUCUCAGCGCUGGCUCUUCCCCUUCCCACACACCCAACACCACCCGGAGACACACCACUAAUGACAGAGCAUCCCUGCAGAGUGGAGCUGUAGGGGUGAACCAGUCCCUCAACUUGAACAACAUGGCUAGAAGAAACGACACAAGGGAACGGCAUGGCCAAGAGAGACAUGCGGGAGCCACUUCCUCUCAGGGGAGAUCACAUGGUAAAAAGACAGAGAUGUCCAUCAAGAAGAGGCAUGGAGGCGCAGGUGAGUUCUCAUUUUCCUUUAUGUAUCAAACUGGGCUGGCAAUAAGACAUGUUUGGAUGUAAUAGGCACAGUAAUGUUUUUUGGUGCAUUUAUCAGACUGGGUAAAUGCGUUUGACAUUUGAGGUGUAAAAGAACCUCUUGUCAUGCAGUUUCUGAAAGUUAUAGGCCUAUAUAAACUUGUAUCCCCUACAUUAAGAUAUCCUACAUAUUUUUUUCUAAUCAGUUAAGAGAUGUUCACUAAUUAGACCAGUUUAUUGUUGAGCUCUUUAAUACUUGGAC